GAUGAACGCUGGCGGCGUGCUUAACACAUGCAAGUCGAACGAAGUGGCGAACGGGUGAGUAACACGUGGGCAACCUACCCUUUUCUUUGGAAUAACUCGUGGAAACACGUGCUAAUACCAAAUAGAAAAGGAUGGGCCCGCGGUCCAUUAGCUUGUUGGCGGGGUAACGGCCCACCAAGGCUGCGAUGGAUAGCCGGGUUGAGAGACCGACCGGCCACAUUGGGACUGAGACACGGCCCAGACUCCUACGGGAGGCAGCAGUGGGGAAUUUUGCGCAAUGGGGGAAACCCUGACGCAGCAACGCCGCGUGCGGGAUGAAGGCCUUCGGGUUGUAAACCGCUUUCAGUAGGGAAGCGGUACCUACACAAGAAGCUCCGGCUAAAUACGUGCCAGCAGCCGCGGUAAUUC
rnacentral:rRNA from 1 species